GAGCGGCCCAUCCUAACUGCCCUGGAGUGUCUCUGCUGCCAGAAACUUGAGAGCACACCACGUCAGCCCUUCCCUCUGUCUAGGAAGCUUCUUUGGCUUUUAUGCACUCACCUUUCCUAUUGCCUCCAGCUUGUGAAAUCUGGUUUGCACCUGAGGCGUCAUAGUUCUUGGUGGGCCAAGAGAAGUUAGAGAAAACUUUCACUUCUAGAAUGUGAAACCUGAAAGAGUGAGGCUUGAUUAAAUGAUCACUUUCAUCCGCAUGCUUACACAAUGAUUUGUCAAAGUGGUUUCAAGGCAUUUUUUCAUUACCAGUAUUUCUCCUGCUUCUUCAUAACCAUGGGGUUAUAUAGACAGAUGAUAUUCAGUUGAACAAAUAUUCUUUGAUGCCUACUAUAUGAAGGCUAUAAUAAAUAAAGUGGUCUUUAUACAUUUAGAGUUUAAGUGGAGUGUCUGUGUCUUUUUAGGUUUCAUGUAGGAUCUUAAUAAACAUGGGCCAUGUGUAUGUAUGACUGAGUCCUUUUGCUGUACAGCAGAAACUGGCACAACGUUGUAAAUCAAUUACACGUUAAUUAAAAAAAUAUAUAUGGGCCAGAUUUGGCCUGUGGUCCAAAUUAGCUCAUAACCCCUAGAGGAUAGGGUACCAUGAGAGAUGAGGCUUAGGAGGGUGGCCUGGUUUGGGGAUCUCUAGAGACUAUGUUAAAAGGCCUGACCUUGGCCCCAUGAAUAAGGGGGUGUGUCUCCUUCUCAUAUGCUUUUUUUUUUUUUUUAAAGGACUGCACAGGUGGCAUAUGGAGAUUCCCAGGCUAGGGGUCGGAUUGGAGCUGUAGCUGCCGGCCUAGACCACAGCCACAGCAACACAGGAUCUGAGCUGCAUCUGGACCUACACCACAGCUCACAGCAACGCCGGAUCCUUAACCCACUGGGUGAGGCCAGGGAUCAAACCUGCAACCUCAUGGUUCCUAGUCAGAUUCCUUUCCACUGUGCCACAACGGGAACUCCAUUUCUUUCUUUUUUUUUCGUAUGCUUUUGAAUGCAGAAAGUAAUGCAUUUGUUAAAUCCGAAAUUCGACAUGGCUAAAGAGGCAAUUGAGGUCGUUCCCACCGUGGUGCAGCAGAAUCCGUGAUGUCUCUGCAGCACCUCGAGCCUCUGCUAGGACCCGUGUUUGAUCCCCAGCCUCCCACAGUGGGUUAAAGAUCUGGCAUUGCUGCAACUACGGCUCACAUUUGAUCCCUGGUCUGGGAACCUCCAUAUGACUUAGGGGGACCAAAGGAAAAAAAAAAAAGGUAGUUGAGGAAUAUAGGUCUAGAAUCUGGGAUAUAAGGGCAGUUUCUUAGAUUUGGUAGGGGAUGGAGCAUAGUGGGCAAAAGCGAAAAAGGGCUGAGGACAGAACCUUCAGAAUCCAUUUGCAGCUGAAAGAAACAGCAAGGAGGGUCUGAGUCAAAAAAGUAGAUUGUGGUGGUUAGCAGGAAAAGAGCAGGACUUAAUCUGAGAGGAAGAGGGUGGAGGUGGGAGAGCCUUCCUCUGAUUGUUCAAGAACCUUGGCUUGGAAGGAAAGAGNNNNNNNNNNNNNNNNNNNNNNNNNNNNNNNNNNNNNNNNNNNNNUUCUUUACAUCUAAUUGAUGUAAAGGCUGGAGCUGCUGCAGGGGGGCUGGGACUUGAAAAGGGUCCGAAGGGCCUUUCAUCAGGGGUGUCCAUGUGGCCAGUGUACGUGCUUCCUUGGCGAAGUAAAACACUGGGAAAUGCUCAGGUGGUAUGGAAGUGGGGCUGGAGGCAGGGACGGCCUCCCUCGGUGAGGGCCUGAUUAGACUACGUCUGAAAGAUCCUGUUUGCACAUCUUCCCAGCCCUGCUCCCACCCAUGGUGGAUUGAAUGAAGUUGGGGUGGGGAUGGCAGAGCAGUUUUAAUUGGGACUUCUGAUCAGCUCACCCCAGGCUGUCUCAGUCGGCAUCUCUCAGUUGGGUUAAGGAUCCGGCGUUUCGGUGAGCUGUGGUGUAGGUCAUAGAUGCGGCUCAGAUCCCGUGUUGCUGUGGCUGUGGUCUAGGCCGGCAGCUGUAGCUCCAAUUCAACCUCUAGCCUGGGAACCUCCGUAUGCCGCAGAUGCAGGCCCAAAAAGACACACACACACACACACACACACACACACACACACACACACACAGAGGAAUGGAACAGGAACACCAGAAGGAGAGCAGGGCAGAAGCUGCAGUAGGCCUGCUUGUCUCUGAGUCUGGAUGCAGGCAGAAGUGGCUAGAAAUCUGGGAUAACAGAUUUACGCAUAACUCCAGCUAUGGAGUGCUGGAUACAAAGCCUGGAGUUAGAGCUGAUACACUGCUGGAACCCAGGGGCUGGGAAAGUAGUCUGAAAACAGUUGCUGUAACCCAUUCCCUGGGGCUGGGGCUUAUUACAAAGAUGCUUACCUAGGGAGACAGGGCCUGGAGCUAAGCUAAGUUGCUACUGUAAGAUUUGAUUCUAGACCAGGAGACCCAGAGGACCUGGGGAGGCAAAGGAGAAAAUCCCCAGAUGGAGAAGGGAUGAGCUUAUAUACUCAGAAAUAUGAGGGAAACUAAUAUGAAAGAAGAACAAAAUCAGAGGAAAAUUUAUCCCCAAAGAAAUGAAAAUAACAGAGUAGUCAGAAAAUACAUUUAGUAGAAAUAGGUUAAGGAUCCUUGAGGCUAUUAGCGAAACAAGAAAUUUGUUAAAGAAAGGUAAAUUAUAAAAGAAACAAGAAUAUGUAAACAUGAAAACUUUACAUUAAAAAUUGUAGGAGUUCCCAUUGUGGCUCAGCAGGUUAAGGACCUGACAUAGUCUCUGUGAGGAUGCAAGUUUGAUUCCCCAGCCCUGCACAGUGAGUUAAGGAUCUAGCAUUGCUGCAGCUGUGGUGUAGGUCACAGCUCUGGCUCGGAUUCAGUCCCUGGCCCUGGAACUUCCAUAUGCUGUGAGUGCAGCUGGAAAAGAAAAAAAAA
ensembl:lncRNA